GGGGGUAUAGCUCAGGGGUAGAGCAUUUGACUGCAGAUCAAGAGGUCCCUGGUUCAAAUCCAGGUGCCCCGUGCA
rnacentral:tRNA from 1 species